GAAGGAGAUCUUCGACAUCUGCCUACCCUGCAACAUCUCUCUCAAAGCCAGGAGAUACGAACCUCAUGGCAGACUGGUUCUCCCAGCACCCAAAUAUUCAACAGCCUCUCAGAAUGGAGGGGCCCCUUUCUCCUGGACCUUUUUGCAUCACGCAACAACAGGCAGAUGCAGGACAUCUUCAGCUGGCUCCCAGACCUAGAGAGCAGAGCGGUGGAUGCCUUCCUACAACGUGGCCGACCACAGGAGCUUAUGUGUUUCCCCUCUUCGCUAUGAUAGUGAGAACGAUCCAAUACUUGAGGAACCAACAGAUAUCUCUACUUCUUAUGACUCCCCUAUGGCGGGGUCAAAUGUGGUUCCUGGACCUCCUGGCAUUGUCCUACACGGAUCCUCUCCUACUGUCGCCCUAUCUGACACUCCUCACGGAUCCAAAAGGGAA